AAUGUGCCAUAUGUGCUCUAGUAAAGACCCACCUGUGGCGCAAUGACAACCCGCACUUACCAGCUAAAUCAAUAAAGUUCUACAUACAGUUUGGUUUAAAGUCUCCUGACCAGUUGAGAAGUUUCCUAACCAGUAAAAAACGACCGGCUCAAUCCAGAAAUCUCGUGGUUACGUGGAUAACCCAGCCGCUGAGGUCUCAACAGUAUAAAAGGAGGCCUUGGUGCUUUUGUGCCUGGAGGUUUCUGUGAAGUUCGCAGCAUGUGAUGUUUCUGUUUGACCCUGACCUCUCAUUAUAUAAGCACAGAAGGUGUCAUUCAGUCUGAGGUGAAAUGACUGAAGUGCAGGUGUGCCGAGCAGAAGUGAGCGGACGACACUGCAGGUGUUUCUGCUUGCAAACCCCAUCCAAAAACACAAAUCACAGUUUGACUAAAUUAUCCAAUACGCUGCUUUUGCAUGCACAGCCUCGCAUCAUACGCGUUCACGUUUUCCCUUUUGAUCUCUCUGUCCGCCUCCAUGUGUGUGUGUGUGUCUGUGCGUGUGUAUGUGAAUUGUAUUGGAGUGUGUUUCCCGGGACUCAAACUCUCUGGAGGAAAUGCUGCAACUAGAGCAGAAAUACAAGACGAAAUGUGAUCAUUGGUCUGCGUGCUGAUUGGCUGUCGAGACGACGGCCGGUUGCAAAGCCAGUUCUUGCCUGAUUCUCAAUCUACAAACACGCCGCCACAGGGGAGAGCAGAGGGGUACAACAGAAUGCCAAAGUGAGGAAGGCAAAGGAUUUGGAUUGAUGUUUCAUUUCUGGAUAUAUAGUCACAGGGCUAAGCAUGUAGCCGGAGGAAUAACUUCACCUGUGCUGAAAAGUUGUGUUUAUAAAUAUAUUUUCCUGAGUUGAAGGGCCUACAUUGCGUCUCAGACUAACUGAUCUCUUUUCCCGGUGCCAGUUGAUUGAUUCGUGAGCCAGGCCCACAGGAUACACCAUGGGCUUCUGAGGUCACAAGCAUCGAUUGGCAAUUUCUGCCUUGAACUCUAGACUAACAAACCUCAAUUAAUGAUGUUCGUCAAAAACAAACAAAAAAAAAAAUUCUCCCAUAAUUUGGAACCUUUACAGGAUUUAACAAGAAUCAUCCUUUGAAUCAAUUAUACAUGGCUGGAU